rnacentral:rRNA from 1 species
AGUGAACGCUGGCGGUAGGCCUAACACAUGCAAGUCGAACGGCAGCACAGGAGAGCUUGCUCUCUGGGUGGCGAGUGGCGGACGGGUGAGGAAUACAUCGGAAUCUACUCUGUCGUGGGGGAUAACGUAGGGAAACUGACGCUAAUACCGCAUACGACCUACGGGUGAAAGCAGGGGACCUUCGGGCCUUGCGCGAUUGAAUGAGCCGAGGUCGGAUUAGCUAGUUGGCGGGGUAAAGGCCCACCAAGGCGACGAUCCGUAGCUGGUCUGAGAGAAGGAUCAGCCACACUGGAACUGAGACACGGUGCAGACUCCUACGGGAGGCAGCAGUGGGGAAUAUUGGACAAUGGGCGCAAGCCUGAUCUAGCCAUACCGCGUGGGUGAAGAAGGCCUUCGGGUUGUAAAGCCCUUUUGUUGGGAAAGAAAUCCAGCUGGCUAAUACCCGGUUGGGAUGACGGUACCCAAAGAAUAAGCACCGGCUAACUUCGUGCCAGCAGCCGCCGUAA